ensembl:lncRNA
GCUGUGUGAUCGGUGUGUGAUCGGUGUGUGAUCUCUUAAACUGUCUAUUUGACUCAUGCAUCACAUUGGAAAUUGUGUAUGAAUUUAAUUAAAAAUAAAUACAAAUAUGACUAUAUCAUCGGUUUGACAGUCAAUGGUAUUCAAUUUGCUCAAUUAAUUUGAUUGAUGGUUUAUUUAAAUCUAUUUUCUAACCUUAGGUCAACUCCCUUAGUCUAUUUAUUCUUUCCAGAGCAAACCGGUUUCAUUUAGUUUAAGGAAAAUACAUUUUGUUUUGUCGUUUUCAUUCACUGAACCGUCUCACAAAAGGGAAGGAGGGACAGAGAGAGGGAGGGAGGGAGGGAGAGAGGGAGGGAGGGAGGGAGAGAGAGACAGAGAAAGGGAGGCAGAAAUAGAGAGAGACAGGGACAGAGAGACAGAGAGACCGGAAGACACAGACAGACAGACAAGUAGAGUGGGUGAGACACAGCUUUAUGCACAAUAUUUCACCUAUAAAACUCCCUUAACUAAUACUACGGAUCCCACUACCGAUUUCUGAAUGGGCUACGAUAAAACUAUCUGCCGGAGGUCUGCUGGGUUGCUUCUAAUCCGGGGGGCGUACAUCACCAUGGUUACCACAAGGUAUAUGGAUCACUCACACCAAGCCUGCUCCAGAGGACAGGAUCUCGGUUAAUAGGCCAGAACAGAACAAAGUCCCGCCCACUUUGCCAAAAGGACCACCGGACCAAUCAGGGUCUCUCGCUUCAUACACCACACACACACACACGCCAAUCAAUUGGAUGAAAGGUAGAACUCGGUCGCUCAAUGCAACGCAAAAACCCACCAGGAUACCAGAGGGCGACAGUUAAAGACAACCACCAAACCUGCCCUCAGCUCCACCAACAAGGACCUGCCAGGACAGCAGGCAAGUGACGUGGGGGGUAUUUAACCACCUCGACCUGCAGACAGUGACUUAAAGUACUACAGCCUCGGGAAGCAAAGGUGAACAACAUGAAGACAUUUGCGCUGGUUUUCGUUUUCCUGAUCUUGGCUGCAGUUUGCACAGAUGCCAAUCCCAUCAUGAAGGAGAGCGUUGCUAAGCAGCUCUUCCGCAGCAAGAGGAUGGAUAAUACCUACGAGUGGGAGAUCGUGCUCGACCUGAUCGAGAAGUGAUGGGAGCAGAAAUCAGUUCCGGUGAUGGUGUAGCGCCGAGCUGGAGGUCAGUCACCUGAGCCGGAACGUCACCGCGUGCGUUUUCUCGAUAAUACAGCCUUUAAUUUGUUUACUCGAAUUACUUGAGUUUUAAUGGUUUUAAUGGUUGUUAAGGAGGAAAUCUUUGGUGUGUUUCCGCUACAUAUAUCUUUUUAACGUAACAUUCUUUGUUCAUAUUCUGUCCUCUGCUCCUUUCAGGGGACCGCGUCCAGGGGGCGCCCACAACGUGACCCGACGGACGCACGACGACAACGAAGACGACGACGAGGAAUCAAAGACGAGCGCGCGCUUCUAUGUUGGGCUGUUUCCCUUCAGGCCAUCAAGUGAUUCACUAUAGAGUGAUAUCAUCUAAACAUUAAACGCGUAGGCCUAGACCCUCAUAUUCUAGAUGUGUGAUCUCUUAAACUGUCUAUUUGACUCAUGCAUCACAUUGGAAAUGGUAGGCCUAUAUGAAUUUAAUUUAAAAAUAAUUGCAAAUAUGUCAUCGGUUUGACAGUCAAUGGUAUUCUAUUGGCUCAAUUAAUUUAAUUUAUCCAGGUUAUCAACAAAGACC